rnacentral:rRNA from 1 species
UACGUAGGGGGGCAAGCGUUUGUCCGGAUUUAUUGGGCGUAAAGAGCGUGUAGGCGGCCUUACAGGUCAGCUGUGAAAAACUCGAGGCUCAACCUCGAGACGUCGGUUGAAACCGCAUGGCUAGAGUCCGGAAGAGGAGAGUGGAAUUCCCGGUGUAGCGGUGAAAAUGCGCAGAUAUCGGGGAAGAACACCCCGUGGCGAAGGCGGCUCUCUGGGCCGAUUCUGACACUGAGGAGCGAAAGCGUGGGGAGGCGAACAGG